CCGGUGAUAAGCCGGAGGAAGGUGGGGAUGACGUCAAGUCCUCAUGGCCCUUAUGGACUGGGCUACACACGUGCUACAAUGGCAUCUACAGUGGGCAGCUAUCACGCGAGUGUGAGCUAAUCUCCAAAAGAUGUCUCAGUUCGGAUUGUUCUCUGCAACUCGAGAGCAUGAAGGCGGAAUCGCUAGUAAUCGCGGAUCAGCAUGCCGCGGUGAAUACGUUCCCAGGCCUUGUACACACCGCCCGUCACACCAUGGGAGUGGGUUGCAAAAGAAGUGGGUAGCAUAACCUUCGGGAGUGCGCUCACCACUUUGUGAUUCAUGACUGGGGUGAAGUCGAAACAAGGUAGCCGUAGGGGAA
rnacentral:rRNA from 1 species